GAUCAUGGCUCAAGACGAACGCUGGCGGCGCGCAUAACACAUGCAAGUCGAACGAGCGAGAGAGAGCUUGCUUUCUCAAGCGAGUGGCGAACGGGUGAGUAACGCGUGAGGAACCUGCCUCAAAGAGGGGGACAACAGUUGGAAACGACUGCUAAUACCGCAUAAGCCCACGACCCGGCAUCGGGUAGAGGGAAAAGGAGCAAUCCGCUUUGAGAUGGCCUCGCGUCCGAUUAG
rnacentral:rRNA from 1 species